UUCGGCAACAGUUGCCGUCGCAAUUGAGACCCUAUUGCUACGGAAAAUGUUCCGUCGCGAUUAAGUCUUAUCAUUUGCGACGGAAAAUUUUUGCCGUAGUAACUUUAGUGGAUUGCUACGCUUUUUCGUCUUGCCGUCGCAAAACUUAAUUCUAUUUCCCUCACUAACAUCUCGAUCUGCAGCCCUAAAUAACCUCUCUCGCCCAACUCUCUAUCUCUUUGACGCCCAAACUCUCUCUCUGUCUCUCUUCUCGGCCAAGCUCACCCAUGCCAAGUGCUCUCUCCCUCUCUAUCUCUCUUGCCCAAGCUCCGCAGCGCCUUGAACAAGACAUAGUCGAGGUCCGAAAGGAUCGUCAGAGAGAAAAAGGUACUACUUCUAUUGAAGUUUCAUGGCACUCUUUCUGUUGCUUGUUAAAAAUCCCAAUAAGAAGAUAUCAAGUGGUGAUCAACCCGAAAAUGCUCUCUUCAAAUCUUCUGGAAAUUUGGCAGUGCUUGGUGUAUUUCUUUGUUUAGUGUGUUUCCUUAUCACACAUUAAUUUGAAUUUCUUUAUUCAAAUGUCUCAGAGAUGGUAAUUUGAAUGACAUGGUUACUGAGCAAUGGAUUCAAUUACAGAGACUUCAGCAGGCUCUUCUCCUUCUUCUUUAUUCCAGUAACCUUAUGCUUCCUAGAGCUGGUAUAUCCUUAGAUUUCUUUCAUAUGUGUCUUUGAGGAACUAAAGGUUUCCAUUCUUCAUUGUACCGUAUUGACAAGAUAAGCAAAAGGAGGAGAACAAAUUGGAGCAAGCUGCCGAGCCCCUUGAUACUACAAAAACCACCUGAUAAACUUGAGGUUUCUUCAAAACAACAAGUUGAAUGGUAGCCCUCCUGAAAAUAAAAGCUCGUCCCUUCUCAAUGUGGAAUUCUAGUUUUGUAGGAUUUUGAUAUACGAAAGGAGGCAGGUGGGAAAUCUUUGCAAGCCGUUCAGAUUUCCCACCUACUAUCGUUCCGAACCAUCCAACUAGUAGGAAGAAUAGGAUGGGAAAAGUAAUUGCCGUGAAGCAAUUUUCUGCAGCAUCCUAGCAAGGAAAAAAAAUGAGUUUCUCCCUUGUUGUGUGUUCUUCCAGGCAACGUAUUAAGCUCCCCCCUUCUUGAUUUUAUGUCAUGCUUGAUUGUAUUAUUUGGUACUAAUUCACUUUAUUCUUUGAGCCCAUUUUUGCUGCAGUACAGUGACUAAGAAGAAGUUGAGGCAGAGAAUUUGGAACCUGCUAAGUACAUUAUGUAUUCAAAUGGUUUUUGAUUUGGUCGACCCACAAAUAGAAGUCCUGAAACACUGCCAAGUGUUAAAUAAGGUACUCGAUAAGAAUGGGGCUGCUCCAGCUAGAAGUGUUUUGGCGUGGAUUCUAAUAUAAAUUUGAAAGUAUGCUUAGUAGCAGCUGUGGUUGAUAAUCUGGCCAUUUUUUUUACUUCUAAUGAAGGUGCUGCAGUGUUGGCAUGGCUCAUCUUUGUUUUUAAACAAUCUUUGGCUGGUCUUAGAAUUGUGAUUGUUGGUUGGUUAUAGAUGAUGGGUUUCAUAAUAUUUUUCAAUUUAUGAUAUUUGGUGGGUUAUACUA